GAUGAACGCUGGCGGCGUGCCUAAUACAUGCAAGUCGAGCGAACAGACGAGGAGCUUGCUCCUCUGACGUUAGCGGCGGACGGGUGAGUAAUACGUGGAUAACCUACCUAUAAGACUGGGAUAACUUCGGGAAACCGGAGCUAAUACCGGAUAAUAUAUUGAACCGCAUGGUUCAAUAGUGAAAGACGGUUUUGCUGUCACUUAUAGAUGGAUCCGCGCCGCAUUAGCUAGUUGGUAAGGUAACGGCUUACCAAGGCAACGAUGCGUAGCCGACCUGAGAGGGUGAUCGGCCACACUGGAACUGAGGCACGGUCCAGACUCCUACGGGAGGCAGCAGUAGGGAAUCUUCCGCAAUGGGCGAAAGCCUGACGGAGCAACGCCGCGUGAGUGAUGAAGGUCUUCGGAUCGUAAAACUCUGUUAUUAGGGAAGAACAAAUGUGUAAGUAACUAUGCACGUCUUGACGGUACCUAAUCAGAAAGCCACGGCUAACUACGUG
rnacentral:rRNA from 1 species